rnacentral:rRNA from 1 species
ACAUCCAGAGAACUUAGCAGAGAUGCUUUGGUGCCUUCGGGAACUCUGAGACAGGUGCUGCAUGGCUGUCGUCAGCUCGUGUUGUGAAAUGUUGGGUUAAGUCCCGCAACGAGCGCAACCCUUAUCCUUUGUUGCCAGCGGUUCGGCCGGGAACUCAAAGGAGACUGCCGGUGAUAAACCGGAGGAAGGCGGGGAUGACGUCAAGUCAUCAUGGCCCUUACGGCCAGGGCUACACACGUGCUACAAUGGCGCAUACAAAGAGAAGCGACCUCGCGAGAGCAAGCGGACCUCAUAAAGUGCGUCGUAGUCCGGAUUGGAGUCUGCAACUCGACUCCAUGAAGUCGGAAUCGCUAGUAAUCGUAGAUCAGAAUGCUACGGUGAAUACGUUCCCGGGCCUUGUACACACCGCCCGUCACACCAUGGGAGUGGGUUGCAAAAGAAGUAGGUAGCUUAACCUUCGGGAGGGCGCUUACCACUUUGUGAUUCAUGACUGGGGUGAAGUCGUAACAAGGUAAGCGUAGCGAG